AGUAGAUUCCUAAACACACAUAACCUUAACAAUAGGCAACCCAAUAUACACCAAAAUUGAAUUCACAGUUUAGUAUAACCUAAGAGUGAUUCGACAUUAUUUGUGAAACUCGAGCAAAUAUUGUGUGCUGACAAUUAAAACUUAUUAAUUAAGUACAUAGAAGGAGAUGCAACUGGAGACGACAGCGUAGGUCGGCGUCAAGUCCAGGGCGCAAGUGGGAUAGUUCUGCCCGCCGGCGUGGUAAACGGUCGGUUGUGGCGGUCGAUGCAAGCCGAGCGAAAUCGGCACGAACGAAAUCAGCGCCGAUGCCAGCCAGAUCGUCGCAAUGGAGCCAACGGCGACGCGUCUCGUCACCCAUCUACCGUACCUGUUCAACAAUAGAAGCAAACUUUACAAUGAGAGCGGAUUACGCCUGCAGGACGAACACACGAAGCACACGAUUGUGUGUGAUUUUGAUUAGCUUCAAGCGAGGAAUUCAUAUACUAACGAAUUCAUCAUUUGUAAAUUGAAUUGUCGAAAGUAAUUAGAAGUUUGCCGGCUAAUUGGUGUCAAUUUCGCAAAACGCAGCACCGCACGCUGAAUUCGGGGAUUAAUGUGAAGCGCGUCAUUGUGCGCUCGCGCGGUUCGACGCUUCAACAAGUCCACACCGCAAAGUUAUCACGGCCAAGUUUAAUCCACAAUUGGAAUGAAAUUAUAUUCUGCAUUCGGUGCGUUCAUCAUAUUUGGGGUAAACACAUCCGAUGGGCGGUUAUUAUUCAUAGUCAAUUCGUUGUCAAGUGGCGAGUUGUGGAAUUUACACAUUCAUCAUUUCACAAUUUUGGAAUUAACAAGAAAGAUAUAUUUUCUGCCAAGUCAUCCAAAAAGAUUGGAAAUUUUAGUCUAAAGUAAUAGGAAAUGCAAGUAUUGCAUACCAGCGCCAUCUGGGUGUG